rnacentral:rRNA from 1 species
UAGAGUUUGAUCCUGGCUCAGAACGAACGCUGGCGGCGUGGCUAAGGCAUGCAAGUCGAGCGGACAUGGCUGAGGGGUAACCCAAGGCCAUGUUAGCGGCGAACGGGUGAGGAAUACAUGGAUAACGUACCCUGGACACGGGGAUAGCGGCGGGCCGCAAGGCCCUUUAGCGAAAGUGCCGGUAAUACCCGAUGACCCCGCAGGAUCGCAUGAUCCAGCGGGCAAAAGCUCCGACGGUCCCGGAGCGGUUCAUGUCCUAUCAGCUAGUUGGUGAGGUAAUGGCUCACCAAGGCUAUGACGGGUAGCGGGCGUGAGAGCGCAAUCCGCCACAUCGGGACUGAGACACGGCCCGGACACCUACGGGUGGCUGCAGCAACGAAUAUUCCGCAAUGGACGCAAGUCUGACGGAGCGACGCCGCGUGUAGGAAGAAGUCCCUCGGGAUGUAAACUACUUUUGUGGGCGAGGAAUACUGACCAGCCCAAGAAUAAGCACCGGCUAACUCCGUGCCAGCAGCCGCGGUAAUACGGAGGGUGCGAGCGUUGUUCGGAAUCACUGGGCUUAAAGCGCGUGUAGGCGGAGUGUCAGGUGCCGUGUGAAAUCCCCGGGCUCAACCCGGGAACUGCGCGGCAAACCGGCAUUCUUGAGGCAAGUAGAGGUGACUGGAACGACCGGUGGAGCGGUGAAAUGCGUAGAUAUCGGUUGGAACGCCAGAGGCGAAAGCGGGUCACUGGGCUUGUCCUGACGCUGAGACGCGAAAGCGUGGGGAGCAAACAGGAUUAGAUACCCUGGUAGUCCACGCCGUAAACGAUGCGCACUAGGUAUGAGCGGCUCUGACGCUGUUUGUGCCGAAACAAAAGCGAUAAGUGCGCCGCCUGGGGAGUACAGCCGCAAGGCUAAAACUCAAAUGAAUUGACGGGG